CUGGGUACGGUUGUGCCAGGGUACGGUAGUGACAGUCGCGAUUGUAACAAAACUAUGCGUAAUAGGGGGGAGUGGUGUAUGGGAGAAAGACGUGGCUUACAAGCCUAAACACGGUCCCCAGUAUUGCGAUAGCCGGCGCAUGACGUUGACGUAAGCAGGAGCCCACAUUGCUUUUCAACCAUCAAGAAUGUCCAGAAUACGUUUGCGGAAGGCCGAAUGAGUGCAGUGUGAUAUCAAAAAAUAUAAAGAUGCCGAUGAAGAAGUGAAACAAGGGAUUUCGUAAGUGUAGCUCAAGCUACAAGCCUUUCUACAGCUACAAGUUUUAACAGAGAAAAUGUUGUUUUGUUGAUUGUUAAAACUAUGUUUGUAAGCUUAUUAUGUUAAACAUUUCUACAAUAAAACAUAUUAUAUCGGGUGUGUCGUUCAUAAUCACAUUAAAUUAAAUGCGUUAAUAUACUGGUUAAUAUAUAUCGAUUAACACAAAGAUAAAAGAAAAAUACGUAAAAAUAAAAAAAUGAUUUUUUCAAACAAAGUAAAUGGAAUAAAAAUGUGCAAAAAUUAGAACACCAUAUAAAAGUCAGUCAUUACAAACAACUGAAAUUCUCCCUUGAAAACUGACAGCUGUCAACUGAUCAAAACAUACGAUACUCCUAACUUUAUCUCUGCUUUACACAUGAUGUUGUAAAUUAUAAAAACGAAAAAUGACUCCUGUGGCUAAACCACUGAAUGG
rnacentral:lncRNA from 1 species